rnacentral:ncRNA from 1 species
UAUGGUAGAGGUGCGGCUGCGAUGAGUAGCGUCUGACAGGAAAACCAUUCCGCCAAACAUAUCGGUUGAUAUGAUGCAGACGUAAAAGGCAAUGCUGCCGAAGGAUUGGUCCCGGUAAGACCGGUUCUGAUCGCUGUCUUAACAGGGCUGCGAUUGUCAUCAGCGUGUGAUGGAGAGCUAUCGG